rnacentral:rRNA from 1 species
AAUGAACGCUGGCGGCGCGCCUAAUACAUGCAAGUCGAGCGAGAAGACGUAGCAAUACGUUUGUAAAGCGGCGAACGGGUGAGGAAUACAUGGGUAACCUACCCUCGAGUGGGAGUAACUAGCCGAAAGGUUAGCUAAUACCGCGUACGCUCCUUGGACUUCGGUUUCAGGGAGGAAAGCGAUACCGUGGGUAUCGCGCUCUUCGGAUGGGCUCAUGUCCUAUCAGCUUGUUGGUGAGGUAACGGCUCACCAAGGCUUCGACGGGUAGCU